CAGGAGUUUGGCAGGAAGGACGACAUCAUUCCGUGCCGCCGCGGCCGGCUGGACGGCCUCUCGGGCGGCGGCAGCACGCCGGCCCGCGACGCCGACUCGCCCGACACUGUCAUCAGCUCGUCCUCGCCGGAGACCGUGGUGCCCGACUGCAGCUACAGAUACCCCGGGCUGCGGCUGAUAGAGGAC